GAUGAACGCUGGCGGCGUGCCUAAUACAUGCAAGUCGAGCGAACAGACGAGGAGCUUGCUCCUCUGACGUUAGCGGCGGACGGGUGAGUAACACGUAGAUAACCUACCUAUAAGACUGGGAUAACUUCGGGAAACCGGAGCUAAUACCGGAUAAGAUAUUGAACCGCAUGGUUCAAUAGUGAAAGCCGGUUUUGCUGUCACUUAUAGAUGGAUCCGCGCCGCAUUAGCUAGUUGGUAAGGUAACGGCUUACCAAGGCAACGAUGCGUAGCCGACCUGAGAGGGUGAUCGGCCACACUGGAACUGAGACACGGUCCAGACUCCUACGGGAGGCAGCAGUAGGGAAUCUUCCGCAAUGGGCGAAAGCCUGACGGAGCAACGCCGCGUGAGUGAUGAAGGUCUUCGGAUCGUAAAACUCUGUUAUUAGGGAAGAACAAAUGUGUAAGUAACUAUGCACGUCUUGACGGUACCUAAUCAGAAAGCCACGGCUAACUACGUG
rnacentral:rRNA from 1 species